rnacentral:rRNA from 1 species
AUGGAAGAAGAGUAUUCGGCAUUGAAGAAAAAUAAAACGUGGCAUCUAGUACCUCCACGACGAGGUAAAAAUCUCAUUGACUGCAAAUGGGUGUUUCGCAUUAAAAGAAAAUCUGACGGAUCUAUAGAUCGUUACAAAGCAAGACUUGUUGCAAAGGGCUUCAAACAAUGGUACGACAUAGACUAUGAGGACACAUUUAGUCCCGUUGUUAAAGCUGCCACCAUUCGUCUUGUGUUGUCUGUUGCUGUUUCCAGGGGAUGGAGUCUCAGACAAUUAGAUGUGCAGAAUGCGUUCCUUCAUGGCAUUCUAGAAGAGGAAGUAUAUAUGAAGCAACCUCCUGGGUUUGUGAACAAAAACUCACCACUGCAUGUGUGCAAACUUGAUAAAGCUUUAUAUGGCUUGAAGCAAGCUCCCAGGGCAUGGUACUCACGUCUAAAUCAGAAACUGCAAGCACUUGGAUUUAUCCCUUCAAAGUCUGACACAUCACUGUUUAUUUACAAUAGAUCAAAUACCUCCAUAUUUGUUCUUAUUUAUGUUGAUGAUAUAAUUGUCACAAGUUCCUCUGAUGAAGCAAUAACAGGCCUCUUGAAGGAUCUAAGUGCUGAGUUUGCUCUGAAGGAUCUAGGAGACUUACAUUUCUUCCUAGGGAUUGAGGUAAAGAAACAUGAAGAUGGCCUUCAUCUCUCUCAGGAAAAAUAUGCUACUGAUCUGGUAAGAAGAGUUGGUCUUCAAGGAUGCAAACCUUCACCAACACCCUUGUCUAGUUCAGAGAAACUCUCACUUACAGAAGGAGAACCCUUGAAUCAAGAGGACAGUACAAACUACAGAAGUCUGGUAGGAGCACUUCAGUACUUGACUCUGACAAGACCUGAUAUUUCAUUUGUUGUUAAUAAAGUAUGCCAAUUUCUUCAUGCACCCACUACAGUUCAUUGGACUGCUGCUAAACGUAUAGUAAGAUAUGUGAAAAAUACUAUGAAUCUUGGUCUUACUUUCAGCAAAUCUUCAUCUACCCUAGUCAGUGCUUUCUCAGACUCUGAUUGGGCAGGAUGGAUAGAUGACAUACGCUCUAUUGGUGGGUUUGCAGUAUUUUUUGGACCAAAUCUAAUAUCAUGGUGUGCAAAGAAACAGGCUACUGUAUCAAGGUCAAGCACAGAAGCUGAGUACAAGGCACUUGCAAAUGCCACAGCAGAAAUUAUUUGGGUACAGUCUAUGUUAAAGGAACUUGGUAUAAAGAGUACCAAAGCUCCGUGUUUAUGGUGUGAUAAUCUUUUUGGUGCCACCUACCUAUCUGCAAAUCCAGUGUUUCAUGCAAGAACGAACCAUAUUGAAAUUGAUUUCCACUUUGUCAGAGAAAGAGUUGCAAAUCAGCAGUUAGACAUUCGGUUUGUGCAUUCUAGAGAUCAAGUUGCAGAUGGUUUCACAAAACCGUUGCCUACAAGAAGUUUUGAAGAAUUCAAUCGUAAUCUCAACUUGACAAAGUUGUGA